rnacentral:misc_RNA from 1 species
AAAUGACAUCCAAAAUUUGGUUCGUUUGCUUAGUCAGAUGGGUUGAAUUUUUGGGAUUUGGGCUCUGUAGAACUUUUUUUUAGUUUAACUAGCCUUAAAUAAUUUAGCCACAUAAAAAGUUUAGGUGAUAAGGCGUAAUAGUUGGUACUUUCGAGUCCAUCCCUUUCGCUGAAGCCUCUUCUUUUUGAAAUGUGUUGGCUCAAUAAUAUGGAAAACGAAAAAAACGAAUUUUUUUUCACCAUUG